CAGGGUUACUCUGUAGCCCUGACUGUCCUUGAACUGCCUCUGUAGACCAGGCUGGCCUCAAAUUCAAAGAUCGCCUGCCCAUGCCUCCCAAGUACUGGGAGUAAAGGUGUGAUCUACCACAUAUACUUUACUAGAACCACACUGCAUAUAACCUAGGAAUAACUGCUAUCUUUUAGAUGCUGAUUUUAGAUACCUUUUAUUUUAUAGUAAGAUACUUUUUAUUUUAAAGUGUUUAAUGUGUCUGAGGUGUUGCCCCUCCCCCCUUAUCUGUGUUCACUUUGUGCGUGCAGUGCCUCUGAGAGCCAGAGAGGGCAUUGGAUGCUUUGGAACUGGAAUUAUGAGCAACCUUUGGGCUGCUCGAAACCAAACCCAGACCCUUUACAAGAGCAACAAAUGCCCUCAACCUCUGCGCCAUCUCUCUAGCGUCUCUUUCUUUUGAACUGUGUUUUGUCAAAUUUGGCUCAAGACGGAGUCUCACUUUUGACCUAUGCUGGCCUGAAACUAAAGAUUCAUGUGGCUUGUCUUCCAGAUGCUGGGGUGACAGGUGUGAGCAACAACACUGGUAAGAUAGGGAAGUCUUCAGCUCGGUGGUAUGGGUGCUUGCCUUUGCCUGCAAUCCCAGAAGAGGCAGGCCUGGUCUAUUGGUCUAUAGCCAGGGCUACUCAGAGAAGCCCUGUGUCAAUAAAUGAUAAAUAAAAAGAUACAGAAGUUCAUUUCUAUCCA
rnacentral:lncRNA from 1 species